CUCAAAUGAAUUGACGGGGGCCCGCACAAGCGGUGGAGCAUGUGGUUUAAUUCGAUGCAACGCGAAGAACCUUACCUGGCCUUGACAUACUAAGAACUUUCUAGAGAUAGAUUGGUGCCUUCGGGAACUGUGAGACAGGUGCUGCAUGGCUGUCGUCAGCUCGUGUUGUGAAAUGUUGGGUUAAGUCCCGCAACGAGCGCAACCCUUAUCCUUUGUUGCCAGCGGUCCGGCCGGGAACUCAAAGGAGACUGCCAGUGAUAAACUGGAGGAAGGUGGGGAUGACGUCAAGUCAUCAUGGCCCUUACGACCAGGGCUACACACGUGCUACAAUGGCGCAUACAAAGAGAAGCGACCUCGCGAGAGCAAGCGGACCUCAUAAAGUGCGUCGUAGUCCGGAUUGGAGUCUGCAACUCGACUCCAUGAAGUCGGAAUCGCUAGUAAUCGUGGAUCAGAAUGCCACGGUGAAUACGUUCCCGGGCCUUGUACACACCGCCCGUCACACCAUGGGAGUGGGUUGCAAAAGAAGUAGGUAGCUUAACCUUCGGGAGGGCGCUUACCACUUUGUGAUUCAUGACUGGGGUGAAGUCGUAACAAGGUAAC
rnacentral:rRNA from 1 species